rnacentral:rRNA from 1 species
GACGAACGCUGGCGGCGCGCCUAAUGCAUGCAAGUCGAGCGACGCAUGCUCGGUGGGUAACCACUGGGUAUGACGGAGCGGCGAACGGGUGAGUAACACGUGAGUAACCUGCCCCGAAGAUCGGGAUAGCCCGGGGAAACCCGGAUUAAUACCGAAUACCCUCUCUGGAUCGCAUGGUCCGGUGAGGAAAUGCCUUUGUGCUUCGGGAUGGACUCGCGGCCUAUCAGCUAGUCGGUGAGGUAACGGCUCACCAAGGCAACGACGGGUAGCUGGUCUGAGAGGACGAUCAGCCACACUGGGACUGAGACACGGCCCAGACUCCUACGGGAGGCAGCAGCAGGGAAUCUUGUCCAAUGGGCGCAAGCCUGAGACAGCGACGCCGCGUGAGGGAUGAAGGCCUUCGGGUUGUAAACCUCUUUCAGGAGGGACGAAAUUGACGGUACCUCCAGAAGAAGCCCCGGCCAACUACGUG